GCUAAAAUAGCAAAGGGGUUAAUGCUGUAGAUUUAGGUUUUACCAUCAGAAGUUCAAUUCUUCCUUUUAGUU
rnacentral:tRNA from 1 species